rnacentral:rRNA from 1 species
AGAGUUUGAUCCUGGCUCAGAUUGAACGCUGGCGGCAUGCCUAACACAUGCAAGUCGAACGGCAGCGCGGGGGCAACCCUGGCGGCGAGUGGCGGACGGGUGAGGAAUACAUAGGAAUCUACCCUGUCGUGGGGGAUAACGUAGGGAAACUUACGCUAAUACCGCAUACGACCGAGAGGUGAAAGCGGCGGACCGCAAGGCGUCGCGCGGCUGGAUGAGCCUAUGUCCGAUUAGCUAGUUGGCGGGGUAAGAGCCCACCAAGGCGACGAUCGGUAGCUGGUCUGAGAGGAUGAUCAGCCACACUGGGACUGAGACACGGCCCAGACUCCUACGGGAGGCAGCAGUGGGGAAUAUUGGACAAUGGGCGCAAGCCUGAUCCAGCAAUGCCGCGUGUGUGAAGAAGGCCUUCGGGUUGUAAAGCACUUUUGUUGGGGAAGAAAAGCACUGGGUGAAUACCCUGGUGUACUGACGGUACCCAAAGAAUAAGCACCGGCUAACUUCAUGCCAGCAGCCGCGGUAAUACGACGGGUGCAAGCGUCUAAUCGGACUUACUGGGCGUAAAGCGUGCGUAGGCGGUGAGUNAAGUCUGUCGUGAAAGCCCUGGGCUCACGCUGUGGAAUGCCGAUGGAAACUGGGCUCGCUACAGUGUGAUAAAGGAUGGCUGAAUUUCCCGCGUAGCGGUGAAAUGCGUAGAGAUGGUGACGAACGUCCCGUGCCAAGGCUGGCAUCUGUACGACAUCUGACCCUGAUGCACAAUAGCCUGGGGAUGCAACCUGGAAUGGCAUACCCCUGCUAGU